rnacentral:misc_RNA from 1 species
UUUGUUCCACUAGAGAGUGCUCUUGUGUCAUGGAGCAACUGCUUUUAUUUAUCACCCUAAUAAUAUCAUGUAUUUUUAUUGGACUAAAUGCAGUUUGUAUGUGCUGCCCUGCCAUGCCCUGAUCAAAUUAAAUAAUAGACAGUGCUUUUCCCUCUAAAUAUAUGUGUCAUUGAGCAACUGCCUUUUAUUUAUCUCCCAAAUAAUAUCCUGUAUUUUUAUUGGACUAAAUGCAGUUUGUAUUUGCUGCCCUGCCCUGCCCUGAUCAAAUUAAAUAAUACACUGUGCGUUUCCCUCAAAAUAUAGACAGUACAUUCAGCCUUUGUUUUUAGUCGGUUCAUUAAGUUGCAUGGAAAUACGAAUCACUGAUACAUUUUGCUCUUGUCUUUAUAUAGUGUACCAAGAGUUGUUCACUU